GACGAACGCUGGCGGCGUGUUUAACACAUGCAAGUCGAACGGAAAGGCCUCUUUCGGGGGGUACUCGAGUGGCGAACGGGUGAGUAACACGUGAGUAACCUGCCCCUGACUUUGGGAUAACUUCAGGAAACUGGGGCUAAUACCGGAUAGGAGCUCCUGCUGCAUGGUGGGGGUUGGAAAGUUUCGGCGGUUGGGGAUGGACUCGCGGCUUAUCAGCUUGUUGGUGGGGUAGUGGCUUACCAAGGCUUUGACGGGUAGCCGGCCUGAGAGGGUGACCGGCCACAUUGGGACUGAGAUACGGCCCAGACUCCUACGGGAGGCAGCAGUGGGGAAUAUUGCACAAUGGGUGGAAGCCUGAUGCAGCAACGCCGUGUGCGGGAUGACGGCCUUCGGGUUGUAAACCGCUUUCGCUCAUGACGAAGCUUUGUGUGACGGUAGUGGGUAAAGAAGCACCGGCUAACUACGUG
rnacentral:rRNA from 1 species